UUUAUUUCCCUAUAGACUGAAAAUGCUGGGGCUAAAACCAUGUGGAUGCAGCACCUCCUUGGGUGGGCAGGACAAGGUCACAGCACCCUGGGGAGCAAGGCAGGGAUGGAGGCAGCCUGGAUCCUGCCCCUCCUGCUACCCUGAGCCUUGGAGGAUCCUGAAGAAAGCAGAGAGGGCUAUGUGCUGAUUCAAAUGCAAGAAUCAUGAAACCUGGAUUACUCAAACAAAUUUUGGGGCAGUCUUCUGACUCUUAAAUGCUUCCUGGAAAGACUUUGUGAAAAAUGAGCAGCCAAGCAGGAGGAGUCAAAGGUUGUGGUCCAGAGGAGAAGGAGCUCGUGGGCAGCAGGUUCUCCUCAGGCUGAGAGGAAGCUUCUUCCCUUUAAUAUUUCUCAGUUGGAUAGCUGGACACAAAUGUCUCACUACCCUGGAAAUGGACCCAAAGGAAUCAGAAACAAAGGACGCUGAUGCUGCUUUUCAUCCUUCUGCCCAAGGAGAAUAAAUGUUUGUGCAAACCUUUUUUCAUGUGGCUGCCCAGAAAUGACCCGAGUGAAGCCAAGAAGUUGAACAUUAAGCAACCUCGCCCUGGUGAUGCUGCUGAAAUGAGAGUGAAGUUGAAGAAAGGCCCUUGUCCUCAGGUAUUAUUUGUAAACAGAACUUCUCCUCCCAUCCCAAGCAGCCUCUGGGGUUUCUCUCCCUCCCAGAAGCCAAGCUGUGCGCGGAGCCACGGAAGGAAGCCUUCAGAAUGCAUCCUCUGACACUGUGUGACACAGCCCAGCUGUAAAUUUUCUUGCCUGAAGAUUUGUCACUCUACAUUAUUCCUGCAGUAAACACACACAGAAGAAUAAAACCUAGGACCAUGACUCCACAUCACACCAGUGUCACUUUCUUGCCAGCAGGCAUGGGAAGCUCAUGAGGUCUGAUCUUGUGCACACUCAAGCAAUGCCUUUUUAUUCCAGAGCAGCAGCUCCUGCUAAGCUGAGUGGGGUUGUGGGCAGCAGAGAGGUGAAUCCCAUUUCUGGAAUAGGUGAGUCAU